UGCUGCCUGGUUGUUUGCCCCAAUGGCCGCAGCCUUCCAACCGCCAUAGUUUCCACUUGGGUCGCUCAUGUACAGCUGAAAACCGUAGUUUUUGUCCCAACCUGCAAACAGAAACGAAACGCCAAAUGGACGGAGCCCACCAAACUGCGUGUAGCCUUGUUUGGUGUCACACAGAGAUUGGACUAGUUGUUCAACAGGCAUUGGCUCUUGGUAAGCAAAUGUGUAGCGCUGUGCUUGGACCCUGGCUGUGUUGAUCAAGAUGUUGGCAUCAGACAUUAUCCCAGCCACUGCACAUGCGACGUGGUCAUCAAUCUUGUACAUCUUCUCUGUUGAUGUAGAGGUCUGAAGGAGCUUGGAAGUCACCUUCUUUUCACCUACCAACACAACUCCAUCUUUCGACAAUAUCCCAAUUGCAGUCCCUGCGUUUCCAAUGGCCUCCAUAGCAUACUCAACUUGGUAGAGACGACCUUCAGGAGAGAAGAUCGUCGUGCGGCUGUCAUACCUUCGAGACAUUUGAUAUCACACUGAAAUAAGUAAAACAAUGAAACUGAUUAAAUACCACCACAUAAGAAGUAUCAAUGGCUAAGAACAUGGAAUUACAAAUGAAAUUUCAGGAAUUAAAUGAGUCAGGAAUGCAUCCAAUAAACAUGUCAUCUUCAGAAAUAGUAUCUACAGAAACAAUGAAAACGUAUUCGAACAAAUUGAAAUGGCUCUUCUAAUAAACCCUACAGUGGAAAGGAAGAAAAGAAUAGUUCUUGUGGCUUCAAGUUAAUAAAGUUAAAAUAAUUAAAACAGAACAUACAUCAGUAACAUCACUUUUUCCAAUGGUAUGCACUCAAAUUUGGACUCGAAGGGGUAAACUUCCCACAAAGUUGUCGGAUUUAGAAAUAAUACAUAGAAGACUGAAAUUCACUACAUGUUUUGCAGCUGCAUUUUGACUCUAGCCGCAAAGAGUUCCUGCUUGUUCCCAACAGCUGAAUGAAUAAGAGGUUCCAAACUAAAUUGCAUACAUAUAUACAGUUAAUAUUGGUCAAAAUUACAGUAUAUUAAACCAUAUUUUAAUAAUUAGGUAUGUGUCUGCAAAUAUUCUAACUUCCCAACAGACAUAUAAAUAACGCAUCUAGCAUCGUCCACUUUCAUGUUAUUUUUUUUUUGAGAAGAAACAAUUUUAUUAAAGAAUAGUGAAAAACACAGAAGUGGAUAAGAAGUCCACCAACAAAAGGAAAAUCCCAAUAGGAUUUGGCUACAUUAGCCAAUUCUAGACCUAGCUCACUUAACUGCUGCUAACAAAUCCCACAGUAUUUGAGAUAGAGAACAAUUAUUAAACUCUUUAGUAACCGAAGCCCAAAAAGAUGCCCAAUAUUUUACUCUCCCCCAAAGUACUUCUGCCCCCACUCCAGUAUAGUCUUCAAAAAUCCUUCUGUUGCGUUCCAGCCAUAUAUUCCAAAAAAUUGCCGAUACCAGGCAACCCCACAAAGCUUUGGAUUUUUUCCCUUUUCCAAGUGCCUUAAAAUUGGUGCUUAGUAGCUCAAAACACCCUUUAGGAAUGACCCAACUUACUUUAACCUCCUGAAACAGUUUCCACCAUAGUUGGAUCGAGUAGGAGCAAUGAAGAAAGAUGUGAUUUACACUCUCCUCCUUAGCUUUACAUAAACUACACCAAUGUGGGGAUAAACACAUCAGAGGGUUUCUCCUUUGAAUUUUGUCGCAAGUGUUGAGACUCCCAGUGGCCACAAGCCAUACAAGUAUUUUAACCUUCGGAGGAGCUUUUGAUUAUCUGCCGCAAUCACUAAUACUUGAAGUAAGAAAGUUAAUAUCCACUCUUUAAGACCAUUGCUCAACUAUAGGGCCAACAGUUCACGUGCUAUUUACCAGAGGCAAACAAGUUUUACAGCAGCAGAAAAAUCACACUAAUUUCCACAUUCAGUAAAGAUAUUGUAAGUUGUAACGUGGCCUGUCAAAGAAAAAGGUUUAAUUUUAUACGGCAUCAAUACACAUCUUGACACAAUGGACAAGGCUUAAUUUACAAGAAGAUUCUACUUUAAACUGGAAACUAUAAAGAUUGAUCUUAGUAUCCACUAUCCAGGCUAAAACCCUGUACCUUAAUUACAACCAUAGCUUAUUUCCACUCUUUUCUGACUCUAAUUUCCUUCCAAAACUAUCGGGAAUUGGUAAAAAAUACUACAACUCCACUAGCAGUGGAAAACUCGUACUAAUUUCCACAUCCAAUGAAGAUGCUGUAACUUAACCAUUCAAGGAAACAAAUUGAGUUUUAUUUAGCACCAUCGACGAAUCAGCAAAGUAGACAAGCCUACUGAAUCAAGAACAAGCAACGUUUAAGCAUUUACUACAAAGUCGAACAGAAAGCAUUGGAAUUAGAAUACAACCAAUAAACCCGAUUUUCGCUAAACAUACGAAAAGAUUCUACUUCAAAACCAAAAAGAUGAAGAACUGAUCUCACUCACUACCAAAGCUAAAGUGACGAAAUUCUCAGGAAAGAUCAAAUACUAUCAAAAUAUGACCUAGAAAAAUCAAAAAAUAACAAAAAGCUUCAUCUUUUACCUUAUUCAACCUCUAAAAAACUGACAAAAAGAACCCAGAAAAAAAUUUCACUAAUUCCUCCUAAACGGCGAGUAAUCCGACGGAUUAAAAACAAAUAGACAGUAUCCUGUUUUCUCUCUACAACCCCAGAAAAUUUAGCACGAAUCUCCCAUGAAAAGAAAUGCGUCUGUAAAUUCAAGACACAAAAUUCAGAUAAUUUACAUAGAGAGAAGAGAACCAGACCUGAUUGGGUAGAUCUUGAGCAGUAGAGAAUCGGAGAUAGUCUGAGAAGCACGAAAUCGGAGAGAGAGCGAGCGAGAGAGAGAGAGAGUGGUGAAUCAAC
rnacentral:lncRNA from 1 species